CUUGUCCGAGGUUUGAUCAUCGGUAUCACUCUAUACCUUGUUCAUCCUCGACUCCUGACAAGUACUCUUUACUCGUACUGUGGUAUGUGGUCUUUUAUGAACUUAUUCAUAUGCUUGCAAGACAUUAGACGACAUUCCACCGAGAGGGCCCAGAGUAUAUCUAUCCGUCAUCGGGAUGGACAAAUCCCACUGUUGAUCCAUAUGCCUCAACUCAUACUUUCCGGAUACUUAAUCCCACCUUUAUAAUCACCCAUUUACGCAGUGGCGUUUGGUGUAAUCAAAGUACAUUUCCGGUAUAAGUGAUUUACAUGAUCUCAUGGUCAUAAGGACUAGGUAACUAUGUAUCGAAAGCUUAUAGCAAAUAACUUAAUGACGUGAUCUUAUGCUACGCUUAAUUGGGUGUGUCCAUUACAUCAUCUAUUAUAUAUUAAAAGUAAAUUACGGGCUCACCAGAAAAUAGAGAAAUCGCUAGAAAAUCCCACAAAAAUCAGAAACAUCCGACCAUUAAUUUGAUAGAUAAUAUAGCUCUAGCCAUUAGAUUAGAUUUAAUUAGAAUUACCCACCAUUGCCAUUAUGUAUGUCCCCACACAGUUACCUUUUUAUUUUUCUCCACAACUUAUAGUCUUGAACGCAUCGUGUCGUGGAUCAGAGCCCUAGCUAGGCACUAGCUUGUCCUCAUGACUGCCGCCGCCACCGUAUUUUCCUGGGUGCCGUCGGCGGCCGGCCGGCCGGCCUUCACCAAGUACAUGCACAUCAAUGACAUAUGAUCAAUCUACCUUUCCUCAUUCCCUGCCAACGAAAAUUACCAAUAAGCCGCCACCGUAUUUUCCUGGAUGCCGUCGGCCGGCCGGCCUCCACCAAGUACAUGCACAUCAGCGGCAUGUGAUCAAUCUACCUUUCAUCGUAGAUGUCACCAACGAAAAUCACCAACAAAGAUGCGCAUCCUUAUGUAUUUGAUGUGUAUUUGCCUCAGUGACGUCAGGCAGCCGGCCGCCCGAUCUCCACUGAGUUUUUUGAUAGCUCUGCUGGCCCUAUCUACUGAUCUUAUUUUCCAUCAUCAAUCUCACUCUCCUUUGCAUCGUCACUGGAAAUUCUUCUAGCCGAAAAUUAGGCGAUUGUCGCUCUCCCUGGGGCAAAUGACCAGUAUUCAAGGUGGAUUGUUUGUCGAUGUAGCUGCCCCCCCCUGGAGUUUCUAAACCACUGUCAAUCCUUCAUAUACCUAUGUUCCUAUCCACAUAACAUGGAUGUUAAGGUAAUCACUUUUCCCCCUCUUCUAACUUCUACAAAACCAAAUCUGAACGUUUCUUUUGUAUGAAAGCAAAAUCGAUUUUAAUCUGCACAUGUUGUAUUGCCAUCUAAUACACAUGUCUGCUGCCUAGGAAUUUCUAAAGAUUUUACAUAUUCAAGGGGGCAUCGUUAGACGAGUUGAUGACAUUUAAAAUGGUACUGUAGAACACUAGAAGGCAUUACCGGACUGUUUCUCUUAUUCUGCUAUGAUAUGGAACUCCAAGAUUGAACACAAAGACUAGGAUAUGCUGUGGGGUGGAAUUGAAAAUUCUCAACCAACCCCAUGAGAUUUUUCAUAUCAAAUUGGGUUUAGUAUAUGAUAAAAGUAGUGCAUAGAAAUUUAUUACCUAAUCAAUGAAAGUGUGUUUGUGCUAUCUUAGCUAUUCAUAUGCACCACACAUGCUAGCAAGAGGAUGUCCUACGUCAUGUACGUCUUAAAUCCUUGAUGUAGUGCAUCCCAUUUGUAUUCACUUGAUAUGGUGUGGUUCAGUACAGUUAAUGGAAUCAUCAUCUUGGAUAUGAUUAACAAUCAGUUUUACUUCUAUAACAAAAAUACAGUCAGGAGUUGCAUUUCAUUGAAAUAAAUAUAUAUACUGAAACCUAACCUAAUUUUUCCUCCGUCUCCAUCUCUUCCAUGGCCAUCACGCAAGUCCACGGCCGCCCUUGGCAUGACAAUUUGCUCGAACCCCACAACGCCUCCUUGAGCUGCCUUACUGCUGGAGCACCCGCCAGGCUGCAUGGGCUUGACUAUGCUGUUGCUAGGAUGAGAAGUCGAGAUCGCCGGAGAGAAGCAUACCGGUGGCCGCGCUGGCCGCGCUUUCUACCUACGGCCCUUCUAAGCUAGACUGAGAAUUAGGAGGAGCUAAUUAGAUUGGUAUGUGAUUGAUCUGAGGCUACUAUAAUGCAACUCAAGGAGUGAGGCCAGGCCACCAAUCUAUGGAUGCCAUAAUCCAGCGCCUUCUCGAUUGACGAUGGAAUCCUGUUGGUUGAUGAAGCCAUGAAGGAGGAGAGCUGCGUCAAAUGCAUGAUUACCUCCAACUCUCCAAAAGCCCAUGUGGCGCGUCCGGCCGACCGGCCUCAGGUUGAGUGCUUGAUCGACCACAUCCACGCAUGCUUUAUGUUUCAGUAAUGUUUGCAAAGAUUAGGACGGACAGAUUGGGAAAUCAUGCACACAUAGUUGAUUUGAUCAUUUUAGGGAACAUGAUUAGUAGAUACACGGAUGCUCUGCUGUAAUGCAAUUUUUUUGCUGCUAGGGCAUAUACAUGUCUUCAUUUUUUCACAUAACACUUCCUAAUUUAGAUCAUCUUCAUUUGCGGAACAUACUAGAGCUUAUCUUUUAGUGCAUAUUAGGAUUUGGGAAUACACAUGUGUUCUUAAUACUGGUCUAAUUCAUACAUACGUUGUAGAUAUAAUUUGAAAUUUCAGGCUUACCUACAAGUUAGAAUACUACAACUAGAACCAGCUGCAUAGGUCUAUAUUUUCCCUGCAAAUGAAAAUGAAGUAUAUUGCUCUAAGAAAUUUAUCAUGAUGAAAAGGUUGGCGGUACAUAUGAUGCAUCAUGAUGGAAAGUUAGAUUCCAUUGACAAGAAGGAUGGCUAUACCGGAGUAUGAUUUUGUUGAUAAAUGACUCCAGGUUAACAGAGGUGUUCAUCAACAGGUUCAGCAUAAUCAUGUCUUUUCUUACCAGGGAGCAUAAUCACGUUGACGUGGGAAAUAAGGUCAUUAACCUGAUGUCACUCAUCUUUUGGGUAGAUUUUUUUUGGACAAAUUCGAGCUAUUUAAUUAGUCUGACAUAUAACAGUGCAGUUAGUCAUCUAUAUAUUUACUAACAGGGCCAUCAGCAAUAGUUCAUUUCGUGACAUCAAAUUCAAAUGAACACGCUCCUACGCUCCCGCGAGAGGCAUGGAGCGCCAGCUCCGCCGCCUUCUCUAGCCCCUCCCUAGGAGGAACAUUAAGUUCAAAUAAUGGGGUGCCGAUUAAAGUCUUAUUGUUAGACAGAACACUUGCUACAAUUAGGGAUAGUAUUGCAAGUGAACGAUGAGUAUCUGCCCUCAGUUCGCAUGGAACAGGGUCCCAGCUAAAAGCGCGAAUAGGAGUAUAACAUAUAUACUGCAAUGUGUUACUAAUUUUUCUGUCUCUUGAAAUUUUUAAAAAAUGGAAUUCAUCCCUCUUUCAGCAUUCUCCUCUAAAUUUAUUAACCACAACUAUUAUUAUCUACUAAUAUUUUUUUUAAAAAAUCAAUCCAUCAAUAAAAGUUCAUUUGACAUAGACAAACUACAAUACCUAUGUGCUAUGUGAAAUGUAAUGAACUAUAUAGCACUUACAAAUGAAUUAAAAUUAUACCAGAAACAAAAUUGCCGCUACAACACCAUAAAUCUUCGUGCAUGUUUAAGAAAAGUACGUUGAGUGCACAUCGCAUAGUUUUAUAUUUUCAACUGAAUUUGCAAUGAAUUUUGUGAUUGGGAAUUGGAUACGUUUCAGGGUCCGGGGCGUACCUUGGUUAUGCUACCAGCGUGCACAGGACACCGGGUUGAAAUCAAUUUGUUUGAUAGUUUUUUUCUAUUUUUAUUGUGUGACACCCCUAAAUUGAAGUGAACUAUAUGUGGGACUUUUAGAGUGACACCGGGAAAUUUCUGGCCUGGGUCCGCCUCAGAAAUCAGGGUUGAGUAUGUGAAGUUGGUGAACAGUUAUGGUGUCAAAACAUUUUAUGUACACUGGACAUAUAGAAAUCGCAAGGAACAAUAAAAUUGGUGGCAAGCUACAUUCAACAUCAUUAAAUCCACUUCUCCCAAUGCUUCUGGAUUAAUCUUGUGGUGAGCAUCUCUUAUAGUUCAAAAUAUAGACUGUCAACCAUUUCUUCAGGUAAACCAAUUUUACGCAACCUUUUUAGCAUCUUUAGUACUCCUUUGCUUCUUGUGGAACUGAUUAAUUUUAUAUAAGACCAUAAUUGUUCUAUUAAAAUAUAAUAUUAUUAGUUUCCCAGGGGUCAGGUUUGUGCUUUUAUGGAUUAUAAUUUAGGAAAUUUAAGUGUUAGUAUGCAGGUAUUUUGUUUUACUUAAAUAUGCCAAUACAGUCUUUCUGGAUAUAUAUACAAUACUAAUUGCAUGCCGAAUGUCAGUUCAGAUAUUCGAUGGAGCAACAAAGAGAAGGAAAAGAUAGUUAAGCUCAAUUGAGAUCCUUUCCAAAUUUAGGCGUGAGUGGUACAUUUCUACUAUACACUGACCAUAUUUAGUACAAUCUCCUAUUUUCCUGGAGCUGCCAAUUUCGCUGGAUAUGUGCAAAGGGGAAAUCCAUUCAAUGUGAUAUUUUGAUUCAUGUGGCAGAAGAAUUUUUAUAUCAAUCUAUUUUUGUUUUGUUUUAUACCAGUUAUUAUACAUCUGAGUGUUCCAUCUGCUGUAAGAGAAAAGCGACCAGUUAGUCAUACUAUUGAGUUCCAGAUUUUUUUGUGGUAAAAUCUGGUGGUACAUUCUUUAAUUUUCUGCAGUGUCCUAUUCCCAAAGGGAAAAUCGAUAAAUAAAAGGAGUGGAGAUUCAUAAAUGUGAAAAACAAGAAUGACAAAAUGUUUCAAAUACAUCAUUUACGCUUCCUUUAGGGGCACUAUGCUAUAUCCGUAACUAGGUUUAGUUUUUUUUAUCAUCUUGUAUAUAUACAUAUGAUGAUGUGUAACUGUAAUAUGGUUUUGGCAUUGCAUCUUUUACCAAACAAAAAUAUGUGAUAUUCUAGAAUUCGAACUUUAUAAACUAAA